CAAACCGUCACCUCUUACACUUCUAUCAGCGGUGCUUUCUGGAGGGUGCGGCAGCGGGCUAUACGAAGCUAAAACCGGAUAAUAGAAAGCGCAAAAACGGCGCUGAAAAGGCAACAAUUAAAAAAGGAAUGCUCUAGAAAGUGACGUGGCCAGCUGUUCUAAACUGAGCAACGUUUUCAUUAAAACCAGCCCGAGUGAAACUCCAAAUGAAGACAAUGCGACCGCAUUAGCUGACUGUCCAGUUGGCUGCUAACAGUAAAAAUUAAGAGCCAGUACCAAGCACCGGCCGUGAGCUCAGAACUCCAGAGUGGGCAGUGACCAGUUGUGGAGACCUCAAUCAAGGUCCCAUUGCAACAGGGAUCCAUAACAGGAAGCUGUUGGGACAAGGUGGUGAGCUCUCAGACCAAACAGCACUGCAAUGUGUGUACUUUUAUAAAGUCAGUAAUGCAUCAUUUGCUUUUUUGAAUAAUUCAUAUGGCAUAUUUGUCUAUAUUUGAUAGUUUACAGUGUAGAUGCAGUUAGGAAACACGGGGAAAGAGACGGGUAUGACACGUAACAAGGCUCCAAGAGUCAAACCAGUGACAAUGCUGUUUUAUGGUAAACGUCAAACAGUAGGCCACCAGGACACAUCAUUUACAUUUUUUAAAGGAUCAAAUUUAGUACAAGUUUAUUACACCUUUGCAUAAUUUUGGCCUUCAUAUCUAUUGGUACUGAUAACAUUGCACACACCCAAAAAUUGUUGAGAUUUGAAAACAUUACGACAACAAGGCUUAACAAUAAGGCAAGUAUGGUAGGUCAAUGUUAAACCAGGGAGUUGGUCUGUAAACUGGGAUUCAUGUUUACAAUGUACAGUUUGCAUAAUGAUUUAACUUUUGUUUUCUCCAACAAGUAAGUUUGACUAACCUGGGGUUUUGCUUUAAAACCCAAUUGUAUCGCCAGACAAGAACAUAGGUGUUGGACAGUGCUGCCAAAUAAAGGAUUAUGUUCAAAGACAAUCUUUAAAAAAUUCAACCUGUCUUCUACAAUAUCUGUGGAUGGAAACUAUUGUAUGGUUAAAUGUAGGGAAGAAUCAUGGUUACGGUAUAGGAUGCAAACUCGGGUCCCUUAUGUGCACUGUUUGUUGGAAAGCAAUGACCAAUGUUUCGUUACAUAUGUGCCUGUGUCAAUUACAAUAAAAUUGAAUUGAAUUACUUGCACUUGGCACUGAAUGUUAGAUGUAUUGUGAGUUCAGACCAAUAUGGACAAAAUUGAUACUCUUAAAACCAGUAUGAUUGGGUUCCUUUCCUAGUCUGGCUUCUUUUAUCAACGUUAUUAU